AGAAAAGCUAUGAAAAAAAAGCUAUGGGUACGUAAGUUGUAAAGAUGAUGGUACAGGUUUUCUAGAGGAUAAAGACUUUCCAAAGUUACUACUCAACAGACCAUUUAUUAUUGAAAAGCUUCAUUCAUUUUGAACAUUCUGGCCUCUCAAAAUCAGCUGAAAAUGUUUCUAGAAGGAACUUCUCAUUGAUUGUUUUUUG
rnacentral:lncRNA from 1 species